UACAUUCGGAUGUAUAUAGACGUAUUUUAGAGUGUAGUUUCACUCAUUUUGCUUUGUAUGUAGUCCACAUUAGAAUAUCUAAAAGGGCUUAUAUUUAGGAACGGAGGGAGUAGCUAGGAACAAACUGAAUUUCGUAUGUCCGCCACACGGUUAUGGGCAAUGAGCCUGUUAUUGCAGUCUCAGCACACCACAUCUUGUUCUGCUCCCCGGUGCAGAUGGGCAUCCUUAGAUUCACCACCUCCCUGAUGAGCUGCUUCUUGUCUUAACCCACCUCCCUGAUGAGCUGCUUGUUGGUCUCAGGCAUACACGGUCAUCGUUGGUAUCUAAGUUGCCACCUGACAAAUCUGUUCUUAUUUCUUAUUAGGUACCUGAAAGGCUGAACCUGAUCUUUGAUGAACUAGAAGGCCAAGAUACCAAGGACUCGAGUGGGCGACUCCAAGAAUGGCGAUGAACAGGGCAGGGCGUGUGGUAUUGCAGUUAACUAUGUGUCAUCUGGUCAUCAUAGUGAUUGGUAGAUUAAAACCGUUAGCCACCUCUGAAUUCAUAUCGAAGUCAUGCGAGCUGGUCUUUUUCUGCUUGGAUCUCCAGGGGCCUGAUCAAUUGAACAAGUAUAUUGGGGAGAGCGAAUCAGAAGUAAGGAAAAUAUGAACCCGUGCAAGCACUAACUCACCAUACAUCCUAUUUUUUUGAGGUAAAACUAAGUAGUUGUGGCCGCUUUGGAUGAGAGAACCCAAUUCCUGGUAAAUUGGACACCAUCAAUGAGUUCGUCGAGUUUGAUUGAACUCUCACACUUUGAACAUGCUCUAUUUAAAGCAAGGCCAUCCCUGUCAUAACAGGUACAGUAAAAUGCCAACACAUAUAUGAUUGAUGUUAUGGCACUAUACUUGAGUUUGGGGAUGACGAGAUCGACGGAAGCAACAGGAGCCAACGACUCAUGAAUUCAGCGGCAUCUGCACGCCCUACAUGCUGUUCCCGCCGAUGCUGCUGUUCAUGCCGUCCCCCCAGUGCCUAGCAUCACCGGCAAGAAGUUCAGCGCUAUCCGACAAGGUGUCCUGCAGGGACAACCUCCGUCGACCUGUCAUCGAACUUCACUUGUGUGUCUUGUGUCGGGCGAGGGAGAGGGACGAUGUGCAUACGGGGUUGUAGUGCAGAGGCGCCGGUGGUUUCAAGUUGCAGGGCCGGGAGAAAUUUCACGGCAACCAGGAGUAACAAUAUUUUUGGUUACUUGGGAAUACGAUGAUGUUCUGGUGACGUGGAACAUGCUGAGAUUUGGACUUCAAUCCUUGAUUGUGCACGCGUAUGCAUGCUUCACACCCAUGCUGCAAAUAGAUUUUCAUUUUCGAAGAAAGUAAUAAUACUAUAACUACAAAAUUCAUGUUGCAGAUUUAUGCUCCAUGUAGUAUACUAGCCCAUUAUAGCUUUAUUCAGUUCACCAUUUGCACAUCAUGUUCUGGAGUUUGAAAUGCACUCCCUUUUUCUGUAGGGAUUUCCGAAACGAGUAGUAGACUAAUAACUUCUACAACAUCAAAGAUCUCUGAGAUUUUAGAGUAUGCACCAUAUUGAUUUACUUAUCGAUUUAUUCACACGUAUAUUGAGUUCAUGAUGGAAAUAUAUACGAGUAUUUUCAUUGUAUGGAAUUUUUUAAUUACUACCAGAUGGAAUUUGGGAAUUAGUCUUACAAAGCUUCCAAAAUCACUAAAGUUAUACAGCUACUACAGAACUGGUUAAAAUUAGUGAUGUUCUAUAAUAUCUACAUGACUGAUUACAACACUGCUCAUGUGAUUUGGUACUUUACUAUAUGGUAGCUUGUUUUACCCCUGAGGCGAGCUAAUGAUUGGGAACUUAUAGUGCCAAACUGACCUGCAUAUUCUGUCAAACAUUUUGUUGCAGUAUUUAGGAUCAGCAUGGAAGCUGAAUUUGUCACCUGAUGUUGUUUAAUUGUGUGCUACUAAAUUCAUUGGUUGCCUAGCCUUAAAACUAUCUGUAAUAGCAUACCUUGUUUUCAACAUCAUUGGCUUGUUUAGAAUGCUAAACUGAAGAACUGAAGUACUGAACAAAACAAUACAGAAGUCAGUAAAAAGUGUUUAAGAGGAAUUUUUGGUCUGCAGUCUGUACUAAUAAAAUCUUGUGGUCAUUCGUUUUGACCUGAUUCAAGGCAAGGCCUAUCAGUGUUAACUCCCAGGCUGUAAAAAUUGAAUUGAUGAUUGCAUACUCUCGUGUGGAUUUUUUAUGUGCAUGCACGACAACCAUUCAUUUGUGCCUUUCAUCAUCAGAUCAAACGGCAAGUUUAUUGUCUGAUUAAUUAGAGGUUUCUAUUUUAGAAUGAAUUUUUCUGAAUUUUUGCUAUCCCGCUGGUCCUUACUAAUUCAGUAUAUACUAGAAUUUGAAGUUGUGAUCAUCCAUUGUUCUACUAUGGAGACUAGGAUAAAUGAUUGCAGUUGCAGGGCCGCCGCCGUUGCUGAACACAAACGGGGCUCGAAGCAGGCCAAUCUCCGAGGUGGACCGGGCAACGGAUCGUGGAGAGGCGCCCAAGGAUUUUUUUUUGCUUCUGUUGAUUGUGCCAUCCAAUUGGUUUAGACUUUUCACCAUUGCUAAUUACUAGGGGCGUAUGGGUGCCGGACCUGGCAAGUGGCCUGCACGCUACGCUCUUGCCAAAUAAUUUGCAACCAUGCUUGCACUGAAUUUUUAUUUAUUUCCCGAUGUACCUUACAACAACUUCAUGAUGUAGCACUACUUUGCACUAGCAUGCACCUGCAGAUAUAAUAUGGAAAAUGGCUGUCAUUUAGAAUUACUUCCAAGCUGCAUCGUCUAUCUGAAUGUCAGCCCGAAACCACUGGUUGGCACACAUAAAAUUUUGGAAGUUGUAUGUAGUCCUCCUUCUUUGAACCAAACUUUAUGUCUAUGAUUGAUGAAUCAAUAUACUUUUUUGUUCAAACUGGAUCCAAUAGAACAUGGCUUUGGUGGUAGUUCCCCGUACAUGUAGAAUUUCUAUCCUUCUAUAUGUGUACUGAAACAAUUUAAGGUCACUAUGUAGUAAAUUCAUCAUACUAUAUGUCCACCGAAACCACUUAAGGUCAAAAGUGACAAGUAGAACCACAUGCAUCGUUUUGGGUAGUCUAACUUGACUCUAUUACUUUUAUCUCAUAAAUCUAUGAUCGGUGCGUUUUUUACGUGGAAUAUAUUCCGGAGCGGUUGCUGGUGUUAGGGAUGCAUUUAUAUAUGGGAUAAUUGCAUUAGCUAUUUCAUACGAUUGGCAUGCAAGGAUUUUUCUUCUUUAGUAUAACUCUCUGUAUUUUUAUUGUUUCUUUUAUUGUUUCCAGAAUGCAUUUCCACAAUAGAGAUGGGAAAUGGGUACAUCGUUGUCGUCCUUCAGUGAGCAGCCGAGGAGGAGCUCCUCCAUGCUGAUGAUGUGGAAGACAGAUACCCUGUCCGCGACGCCUGGUUCUGGCCUCAUAUACAUGAGUCUGGAAGUGAUACUUUUGUGAGGAGUGCUGGAACAUGACUGGAUCAAGCGAGACAAAGAACAAUGGAUGAAAGAAAGAGAUCAGAAAAGGGAUUCACUCCUGACCACCUCAUACAUAUAUACAUGUUGAAAAUAUUGUUGAUUUUGAUUUAAAAAUGGCUAAAUUGGAGGAAAGCAUUUCUGCUACAUUCAUCGGCAAUACUACACCAUAUACUAUAGAAGCUUGGGCCACUAAAUCAGCUGUUUCUAAUGGAUCUUCUUGGACUCAACAGUAUCAAUCUACUUCCCAGGCAUGUGGUUUAUUUUAUUCUUCAGCUCAAUGGAAAACCAUGGCAAGUUCUGUUUUACCUUUAGGGUGUUGACAAAAUGAUUUCAAUGAGACCAAUUAAGUGAAUAGCCUAUGGAAAAAUGAUGACCUGUUGUUAAAAUGAAAUAAAAACAGAUAAACAAAAAAAUGAUGAUCUAUUGUUGAUUGUCUUCAACAGAAACAAACCUGUUCAUAGUUUUCUUGUGUUUUUUCUUCGAUGUGACUCUUUGCCUGACAUGUUGAUGUUACUAUGUAUCCAUAUUGGAUUUCACAUAAGGAAUGUCCAUCCCUGAAGCACAACCUCGUGUACAUGGUUAAGUGGACCAGACUAAGUCCGGAAGAAGAUUGAAAAUUUCAAACGAGCGCCAAGUGAUUGAGUCAUUCAUCGCUAUGGACGUGAAUAGCUGACAAGGGCCACCUUGAUCAGAAUCGCUCGAUAAACCAGUCCUUCCAGAAAGACAAGCAAAUCCUACCAGCAAAAUCAUAUUACAAAUAGACAGGACACAAGGCAUCCCAGACCACACAAGCAAGUAAAUGAUCGAUAUAGAGGUUUGAAUGAUUGAGCCAUACAAUAUGGGAAUACAUGCUACAUGCUAAACAAGUUAGACGGUUCAAAGUAAUGAUGGUCAAUAAAGACGAAAAAAUCAUGGCACGCAACAGACGAGUGACCGAGUAUAAUGAACUUUUUAUAGUCAUGGAUUAGUCAUGUGUUAAACAAGUUCUGUUCAUGGAUUAGUUAUUAUCAAGCCUGCUGUUCUUUCUAUAGUCAUGUGCUAUUUUUUCAAUUGAACACAUUGAAGUUUCUAUAGAUUUUCAUGGUUUAUGCAAAAUAGCUGAGCCUGGUUGUUUUAUUCAUACAUAUUCAGGAUUGUUAGAGUCUAGAAUUCGUCGGUUUAUGUCGUGGAGAGAGCAGUAGUGUUGUUCAUCUUCUGGUUUUGAUAUAAUUACUAACAUUUAUUCAUUUUAAAGAUUAGUGGAUUAGUGCAUGCUAACAAACCCUGUACUGUCAAAGCAUUGUUCCAAUGUCUCUUAAAAUAUAUU